GACGAACGCUGGCGGCGGGCUUAACACAUGCAAGUCGAACGAAGUGGCGAACGGGUGAGUAAUACGUGGGUAACCUGCCCUCCUUUUUGGGAUAAGCCUUGGAAACGGGGUCUAAUACCGAAUAAAGGGGGAUGGGCUCGCGGCCUAUCAGCUUGUUGGUGGGGUGAUGGCCUACCAAGGCGGUGACGGGUAGCCGGCCUGAGAGGGUGACCGGCCACAUUGGGACUGAGAUACGUCCCAGACUCCUACGGGAGGCAGAAUUGGGGGAUAUUGGACAAUGUGCGAAGGCCUGAUGCAGCGACGCCGAGUGGGGGCUGAGGGCUUUCGGGUUGUAAACCUCUUUCGCUAUGUGACGGUUAGUUGGAGAAGAAGCACCGGCUAACUCCGUGCCAGCAGCCGCGGUAAUAC
rnacentral:rRNA from 1 species